AACGAACGCUGGCGGCAUGCCUAACACAUGCAAGUCGAACGAGACCUUCGGGUCUAGUGGCGCACGGGUGCGUAACGCGUGGGAACCUGCCCUUAGGUUCGGAAUAACUCCCCGAAAGGGGUGCUAAUACCGGAUAAUGUCUUCGGACCAAAGAUUUAUCGCCUUUGGAUGGGCCCGCGUUGGAUUAGCUAGUUGGUAGGGUAAAAGCCUACCAAGGCGACGAUCCAUAGCUGGUCUGAGAGGAUGAUCAGCCACACUGGGACUGAGACACGGCCCAGACCCUGACGGAAGGGAGCAGGGGGGAAUAUGGGACAAGGGGCGAAAGCCUAAUCCAGCAAGGCCCGUGAGUGAUGAAGGCCUUAGGGUUGUAAAGCUCUUUUACCCGGGAUGAUAAUGACAGUACCGGGAGAAUAAGCUCCGGCUAACUCCGUG
rnacentral:rRNA from 1 species